AGGGUUUGAUUAUGGCUCAGGACGAACGCUGGCGGCGUGCUUAACACAUGCAAGUCGAACGUGAUUUUUAUGGAAGGACCUUCGGGGACGGAAGUAAAAUGAAAGUGGCGAACGGGUGAGUAACACGUGAGCAACCUACCUUACACAGGGGGAUAGCCGUUGGAAACGACGAUUAAUACCGCAUGAGACCACAAUACUGCAUGGUAUAGGGGUCAAAGAUUUAUCGGUGUAAGAUGGGCUCGCGUCUGAUUAGCUAGUUGGAAGGGUAAAGGCCUACCAAGGCGACGAUCAGUAGCCGGUCUGAGAGGAUGAACGGCCACACUGGAACUGAGACACGGUCCAG
rnacentral:rRNA from 1 species